GGUAGUUUGACUGGGGCGGUCUCCUCCUAAAGAGUAACGGAGGAGCACGAAGGUUGGCUAAUCCUGGUCGGACAUCAGGAGGUUAGUGCAAUGGCAUAAGCCAGCUUGACUGCGAGCGUGACGGCGCGAGCAGGUGCGAAAGCAGGUCAUAGUGAUCCGGUGGUUCUGAAUGGAAGGGCCAUCGCUCAACGGAUAAAAGGUACUCCGGGGAUAACAGGCUGAUACCGCCCAAGAGUUCAUAUCGACGGCGGUGUUUGGCACCUCGAUGUCGGCUCAUCACAUCCUGGGGCUGAAGUAGGUCCCAAGGGUAUGGCUGUUCGCCAUUUAAAGUGGUACGCGAGCUGGGUUUAGAACGUCGUGAGACAGUUCGGUCCCUAUCUGCCGUGGGCGCUGGAGAACUGAGGGGGGCUGCUCCUAGUACGAGAGGACCGGAGUGGACGCAUCACUGGUGUUCGGGUUGUCAUGCCAAUGGCACUGCCCGGUAGCUAAAUGCGGAAGAGAUAAGUGCUGAAAGCAUCUAAGCACGAAACUUGCCCCGAGAUGAGUUCUCCCUGACCCUUUAAGGGUCCUGAAGGAACGUUGAAGACGACGACGUUGAUAGGCCGGGUGUGUAAGCGCAGCGAUGCGUUGAGCUAACCGGUACUAAUGAACCGUGAGGCUUAACCUUACAACGCCGAAG
rnacentral:rRNA from 1 species